ACUCCUACGGGAGGCAGCAGGGGGGAAUCUUGCGCAAUGGGCGAAAGCCUGACGCAGCGACGCCGCGUGAGGGAUGAAGGCCUUCGGGUUGUAAACCUCUUUCAGCAGGGACGAAGCGGAAGUGACGGUACCUGCAGAAGAAGCCCCGGCCAACUACGUGCCAGCAGCCGCGGUAAU
rnacentral:rRNA from 1 species